rnacentral:snRNA from 1 species
ACACUUACCUAGCAGGGAGGUGCCAUGAUCACAAAGGAGAUUUUCCCAGGGUGAGAUGUUUCCAUUGUACUCCACAAGUGCUGACCCCUGUGAUUUCCCCAAAUGUGGAAAAGUUGACUGCAUAAUUUGUGACAGUGGGGGACUGCAUUUGCAAAA